UAACAAUAUCUAUGUUUAGGCAAGUAGUUAGUGCAAUAUCAUAAUAGUUAAACAAAAGUUUGGUCAUUGUCCUAAAUAAAAUAUCUUGUUUGAUUGAUUUUAUAGGGACUAAACAUACAAUAUCAAAAUU
rnacentral:sRNA from 1 species